rnacentral:rRNA from 1 species
ACUCCUACGGGAGGCAGCAGUGGGGAAUAUUGGACAAUGGGGGAAAGCCUGAUGCAGCGACGCCGCGUGGGGGAUGAAGGCCCUAGGGUCGUAAACCCCUUUCAGUAGGGACGAAAAUGACGGUACCUACAGAAGAAGCCCCGGCCAACUACGUGCCAGCAGCCGCGGUAAGACGUAGGGGCGAGCGUUGUCCGGAUUUAUUGGGCGUAAAGGGCUCGUAGGUGGUUGCGUAAGUCGGAUGUGAAAACUCCAGGCUCAACUUGGAGACGCCAUCCGAUACUGCGCUGACUUGAGUCCGGUAGAGGAGCGUGGAAUUUCUAGUGUAGCGGUGAAAUGCGCAGAUAUUAGAAGGAACACCUAUUGCGAAGGCAGCACUCUGGGCCGGCACUGACACUGAGGAGCGAAAGCGUGGGGUAGCAAACAGGAUUAGAUACCCUGGUAGGCUCUGCU